UGAUGACAAAUUCUCCGGAAUCUCUGUACAUCUUAUGAUGAUUCUCCUUGAACCCUUUUUUCUGAUGGCUGUUGUGCUCAAU
ensembl:snoRNA